UACCUGCAGCUCGAGUGGUAACCGCUAUUAUUGGGCCUAAAGCGUCCGUAGCCGGUUUGGUAAAUAUCUGGGUAAAUCGUGAGGCUUAACUUCACGAAUUUCGGAUAGACUGCCAGACUUGGGAUCGGGGGAGGUCAGAGGUACUCCAGGGGUAGCGGUGAAAUGUUGUAAUCCUUGGAGGACCACCGGUAGCGAAGGCGUCUGACUAGAACGAGUCCGGACGGUGAGGGACGAAGCCCUGGGGGCGCAAACCGGAUUAGAUACCCGGGUAGUCCAGGGUGUAAACGAUGUGGGCUUUGUAUUGGAGGUCCCACGUGGGCGUCCAGUGCAGAAGAGAAGUUGUUAAGCCCACCGCCUUGGAAGUACGGUCGCAAGGCUGAAACUUAAAGGAAUUGGCGGGGGAGCACAGCAACGGGAGGAGCGUAGCGGUUUU
rnacentral:rRNA from 1 species